AUGUUGUUUAAUCUCCAGAAAGAAAUUCUUAUCUUUGUUUCAUUCUUUUGUUUUUCCAAUUUAGAAAAAAACAAAGAUGGAACUCAUGUGGUCACAAGAAAUCCUUCUUUUUUAAACAAUAAAGGACAACUGGAUAAGAAAGUCAAGAGUGGUCAAUUGGAAGAACAUACCGAGGCCACACAGCCUGAUCUGCAAACACAGAUUCCUUCUAAAGGACCAGAAUCAGAGAAAAUGGAGGAUGAAGAAGCAAAGUCUGCUGAUGAAAGUUCGACCCAGAUCAUACCGCACAAGCCACCUGCUGAAGAACAAAAGCAAGAUGUAAUCUCAGAUCAGGACACUGAAAAAACUAUAGAGGAAACUGAAAAGGAAAAAGAAGAAAAGAAAUCAGAUGGCAUGAGAGAAAAAGGAGAGCUACCAACAAGUUCUGGUCAGACAGACUCAGAGGAAGAGACAGAUGAGGAAGCACAUCCUGCCACUAAAACUAGUAUUUUUCCUUCCCCUGAUGACGUGAGAGAAGAGGACGAGUCUCCCACCACUCCUACACAGACAGUUUUGGAUAAAGUUAAGAAAUUUGAGAAAAAGCAACAAGCAGAAAAAAACAAAGAUGGAACUCAUGUGGUCACAAGAAAUCCUUCUUUUUUAAACAAUAAAGGACAACUGGAUAAGAAAGUCAAGAGUGGUCAAUUGGAAGAACAUACCGAGGCCACACAGCCUGAUCUGCAAACACAGAUUCCUUCUAAAGGACCAGACUUGGUGGAAAAAAGAGAAAAAAAUUAG
rnacentral:lncRNA from 1 species